rnacentral:RNase_P_RNA from 1 species
CGAUUUGUAUUCUAUCGCUUUUAUAAAAAGAGGAAAGUCUGGAUAGCAAUGAAUCAAUACGCCAUUUAACAAAUGGGGCGAUGUUGUCGGUCAUCGUACAGAAAGUGUCACAGAAAAUUACCGCCUUAAGUGAUUGAGGUAAGGGUGAAAAUGUGCGGUAAGAGCGCACAGUAAAUCAAAGCAAUUUGAUUUGGGGAUAAACCUCGUAUGCUAAAAUGCCAUGUAUAUCCAUUGAUCUUCGGAUCUUGUUGAUUCACCAAAGUGUUCAAAUACUGAUGGAAGGGUAGGCAGAUAGAUUUUGUGAGUGAUUGCAAGACUAGAUAAAUGAUAGAACUCUGCAAAGAGACAGAAUCCGGCUUAUAGCAAAUUAUACU